rnacentral:lncRNA from 1 species
UUAAUUUAAAACUGGAUUGAUGAUCAUUAUGGUAUGAUAUGAUAUUAAAUGUAUGCAUUGUUUUGAUGCUAUAUUUAGUAGACAGGUGGUAGACCCUGUCCUUAAGGAGCUGUUGUCCUGAAAAUAAGUAGGGCACAUAUAAAUGUCCAAAGAGACCUAAACCAUUUUUGCUGUUUCCUGAGGAUACAUGUCUUUUGCCCAUAACUCUUCUUUACUUUUGUCCUGUUUGUCUUAAAGGUAGAGAAUAAGGUAGACAUUGCCAGGGAAGCCCUGGCACCCUUAUACCAUUUCUUUUUCAGCUUUUUCUCUCAAGUUUCUUUCUUAGGAAGGAGUUGGAUGAGUCAUCCAGGGAUGAGGGUAAAGAAGGUUAUCAUUCUUAUAGUGACUUUAAGUGAUGGUGGGCUUCCCUUCAAGGGAGUGUAUAGUUUUCUGUGGCUCUACAGCAAGACAUCUUUACUGAGUAAUAGGCAACCUGGAUAGAUUGCAAUCCACUACUUAAAAGUACACCACCUGUCUUUCUCCCAGCUCUCUGUAAAAAUAAAAGAACAGCCAAACAAAUCAAAUUUCCAUAGAUUUGGCACUGUGAUUUGACAGCUCUCCACUUUUAGUUCUAAGAUGGAUAGAUUGGUAGAAUCAGAUUGCUUCCCAAAGAAGUAUAGUUUCUUUCCUUUAAGUCUUUUAACAUUUUAAAUAUAUUAUUAGGCACAUGUUUGGGAGAUGAGUGAAUCAACUUUUUCUUUCUGAUUAAUAGACAUAUCCAGUUCAAUCACAUGGUGGAAACUAUAUGGGUCAGAGCAUUCACCAAGUAACUGUUGCCCAAAGCUAUAGCCUAGGACCCGAUCAAAUUGGUCCACUGAGAUCUCUGCCUCCAAAUGUGAAUUCCUCAGUGACAGCACAGCCUGCUCAAACUUCAUAUUUAAGCACUGGACAAGACACUGUUUCCAAUCCUACUUAUAUGAACCAGAACUCUAACCUACAGUCAGCUACUGGUACAACUGCUUACACACAGCAAAUGGGGAUGUCUGUGGAUAUGUCAUCUUAUCAGAACACUACUUCCAAUUUGCCUCAACUGGCAGGCUUUCCGGUGACAGUUCCAGCUCAUCCAGUUGCACAGCAGCACACAAAUUACCAUCAGCAGCCUCUCCUUUAGAAACAAAUCAAGCAUUUUCUUGAAAGCCUUCAUAAGUGUAUUAUUCAGUCCUUGUGAUACCAACCUGAAAAUAUUAAAACUUUUUUCCCUCUCAACUCAAAAGGACCAUGAAUAAAUAAAGCACAAAAACCUCUCUUAUUCU